CUGGAUUUAUAAAAGAACGAGGAUCUUAAUAUUUGUAUAAAAGGACAAUGAAUGAAUAAUGAAAAUCAGUCAAAGGCAUGGCGUGUGUGGGGAGUCUAAUGCUAAGGCCAAGCCAGUGUUUAGUGUAUACUACUACUGCUACUACUUGUAAAACCAAACAUUCUUCUUGGUUAUUACCCUUUACUUAUCCAAGAAACAGCAGCAGCAGGAGGAUAGUGUCAGUGAGAGCGGAGAGCAGCAGCAGCAUGGCUACCGAGUCUGAGAAACUUGGAAUCAAGAUCGAGAGGAACCCUCCCGACUCCAAGCUCACCCAACUUGGUGUCAGAAAUUGGCCCAAGUGGGGCUGUCCUCCAAGCAAAUUCCCAUGGACAUACGAUACAAAAGAGAUCUGCUAUCUGCUUGAAGGAAAAGUGAAAGUUACUCCUGAUGGGUCUUCUAAGUCAGUCGAGAUAGGUGCCGGUGACUUGGUCGAAUUCCCAAAAGGAAUGAGCUGCACUUGGGAUGUGUCAGUAGGUGUUGAUAAGCAUUACAAUAUGGGCUAGCGAUAUUCCGAAGCCUUUUUUUUUUUUUUUUUUCUUCAUAUUCCAGUAUAUUUAUGAAUCAAGUAAACCUAAAUGUCCUGUCUUAAUGCGAGCAUUAUAAUAUGGCCAGUGAUGUGCCGAAGCCUUUUGCCUCAUAUUGCAGUUCAUCUAUGGAUCAAGUAACCUGGAUUGCUUUCUUC